CCAAUUCUUCCCUCAAAAAGAUGUUACUAUCCCACCUAAAAGCAAAACAAAAUUAUGUUCAGAAACUAUGCUUGUCCAACUGUCAACCAUCCAAAACAGAAACAUUCUUAAACUAAGGAAACAAAUACCAAAGCCAUUUGCUUUAUAAAUGUAACGUCAGAACCUAGUUAAAGCUGCUGAGAUCAAGUUUAUUUACAAAAUACUGAACAGUUUUAUCUUGGAAUUCUUGUCUCUUUUUGAGCUAGUAUUGGUAGAAAUAGGAACAUUUUAACAAUCAGUUCCCUUUAAAUUUCCUUAAAGAAAAAUCAGGACCUAACAUUGCAAACACUUCAUCAGACACUAUCACUUGUUGCUAACCAUGAAGUCAUAAUAAGCUAGAAAUUACCCAGAGAUCACAUCAAUCCUUCCUAAGACUGUAUUUUCUAUGAGCCAUAAAGAAAGAAUAAAAAACUGAGCCCCCAGCUAUCAAUACAUUACAGCAGGAUGAGAAAGACCCAGGCCUUUGACAUCCCAGGCUUUGACAGGCCCAGGCUUGACAGUGUCUUGGCACAAUAUUGUGGGAAGAAUAAGCACAAUGAAGAGGUGCCUCAGGAAGGUAUUUUCAACAACAAACCUUCAACACCAUGAACUGCUACUUCUAACGGAGGUCCGAAGCACUAACACAGCCAUUUCCUGUCUCUCUUUAGCAGCCUUGCCUAAUCCAUUUACAGCAUCUUGCCAAAUCAUCAUCCAAAUUCCCUUCAACUUUACUCUUCCAUAUGUGCUCCUAGUCUUAUGUUCAUGUGGGAAAGAAGCUUGUGAUUUUGAAACUCCAUUUCACAGUGGAUGUACAGAUGGUCUUUAUAAGGUAGCUACUCGGUUCUAGAACACAGAAUGUGGAACAGAAGAAAAUCCAAUUAGUAACCUUUUUUCUUUUUUUUUUCCAAGAAGACACACUCAGCCACCCACCUCAUGGGACUGCUAUGAGAAUGACUGAAAUAAUUAAUUGUGAAGAGCUUUGUGCCCCUGGGAGUAAGAACACUAUUCUUUUUCCCAUUGGGUUCGACCAACUUCAUCCGACUUGAUCAAAUCCGAAGGAAAGUUCCAAAUUAUGGGGAACAAGGCUACUGAAGUGGCUAAAUUCUCAUAGACACACACAAAAAAGGACACAACUGGAGAAACUGGUUAUUUUACCAAGGCUUAGGCUGGAAUGGUGUGCUUUCCUUUAAAGAAUCAAACUUGACUUAUGGAGCCAAUAAAAGCCUCUUGGGAAAACUGGCCUCAUACAUGUCUACACAGUCCCUGUACAGGGUUCCUGACCUGUGAUAUAUUAUAAAACAAGAAAUUUAGUUCCAAUGUAUCCAAGCUGUCCCUUCGGAAGGUGAUCAGAAGAGAGAAAUGAGUUUGGAAAAGAAAAGGAAUAGCUGAACAAGAGUAAGAGUUUAUGCAAUAAAGCCUUAAAAGAGAAUAAAAAUGUGGAAAAGUGAAGGUAGACACUGGAGCUGCACUUAAAUAGUUCUUAGGAGCCCAAAGUAAGACAUGUUCUGUAAAGGUAAAACUUACAGGGGGAUCAAUCCUUGCCAUUAAAAUCCUGAGUAUUCGGAUGAAAAUCCAAAUUGUGGUGGGAACUGUGGGCAGGUGCUCUUACACAGCAACAUGAUAUUAAAAUUCUACAGACUGACUGAAAUAUUUCUGCUGUGGCAACAGUAAAUCGUAUACAGAACCACAAUUAAAACUAAUUUACCAUGUGAAAAAGUCAGAUACUCUCUCAGGAACAGUUCAUUAUUGUAUGUAAAUAAA